GCACCAGUGGUCUAGUGGCAGAGUAGUACCCUGCCACGGUACAGACCCGGGUUCGAUUCCCGGCUGGUGCA
rfam:Glycine max cultivar Williams 82 chromosome 7, whole genome shotgun sequence.